UACAGAGGUCCCAAGCGUUGUUCGGAUUCACUGGGCGUAAAGGGUGCGUAGGCGGCCGUGCAAGUCUGGCGUGAAAGCCCCGGGCCCAGCCCGGGAAGUGCGCUCGAAACUGCGCGGCUCGAGUGCCGGAGGGGAGAGUGGAAUUCCUGGUGUAGCGGUGAAAUGCGUAGAUAUCGGAAGGAACACCAGUGGCGAAAGCGGCUUCCUGGUCCAGCACCGACGUUCAGGCACGAAAGCGUGGGGAGCAAACAGG
rnacentral:rRNA from 1 species